UACGUAGGGGGCAAGCGUUGUCCGGAUUUAUUGGGCGUAAAGAGCGUGUAGGCGGUUAGGUAGGUCCGUUGUGAAAACUCGAGGCUCAACCUCGAGACGCCGAUGGAAACCAUCUAACUAGAGUCCGGAAGAGGAGAGUGGAAUUCCCGGUGUAGCGGUGAAAUGCGCAGAUAUCGGGAGGAACACCGGUGGCGAAGGCGGUUCGCUGGGCCUUACCUGACGCUGAGGAGCGAAAGCGUGGGGAGCGAACAGG
rnacentral:rRNA from 1 species